GACGAACGCUGGCGGCGUGCUUAACACAUGCAAGUCGAACGGAAAGGCCCUGCUUUUGUGGGGUGCUCGAGUGGCGAACGGGUGAGUAACACGUGGGUAACCUGCCCUUGACUUUGGGAUAACUUCAGGAAACGGGGGCUAAUACCGGAUAGGAGCUCCUGCUGCAUGGUGGGGGUUGGAAAGUUUCGGCGGUUGGGGAUGGACUCGCGGCUUAUCAGCUUGUUGGUGGGGUAGUGGCUUACCAAGGCUUUGACGGGUAGCCGGCCUGAGAGGGUGACCGGCCACAUUGGGACUGAGAUACGGCCCAGACUCCUACGGGAGGCAGCAGUGGGGAAUAUUGCACAAUGGGCGGAAGCCUGAUGCAGCAACGCCGCGUGCGGGAUGACGGCCUUCGGGUUGUAAACCGCUUUCGCCUGUGACGAAGCGUGAGUGACGGUAAUGGGUAAAGAAGCACCGGCUAACUACGUG
rnacentral:rRNA from 1 species